AAAUGGACGAUAACUACUCCACAAGCUGUUCACCCCCUCCCACAUUAACUUCGUCUACUUCAGCCGCUCCAACUUUCUCUCCGUCCUCCAUCUCCUCACCUGUCUUUCCCUCUUUGUUACGGACUGGAUGGGGUGGAGUCACGUCUCUGACGUAGGACAGCGUCUUAAAGGGACAUGAGACCAUAGCCUACCUACACACAUCCAAAACCAACUUUGAUUUAUUUAUUUUUCUGACACUGAAUAUACCGACAUGAGAGAAAUGACGUUGGUU